rnacentral:lncRNA from 1 species
ACACAUAAUAAAAUCCUAAGAAUUUUAAAAUGCAGAAAAGUAUUUUUUAACAAAUUAAAACAAAAAAAAAAGAGAAAAUUCAUGAAAAAUAGAAAGUCAAUAAAAUAAAAUGUGUGAAAAAUAAGAAUCAGAUGAAGAAAAAAAAAGAAUUUUAGAAAUUACUUUGGGAUUUUUUUGAUAAAAAAUGAAAUUACUACGAAUUUUUAAAGA